rnacentral:rRNA from 1 species
GACGAACGCUGGCGGCGUGCUUAACACAUGCAAGUCGAACGGAAAGGCCCUGCUUUUGUGGGGUGCUCGAGUGGCGAACGGGUGAGUAACACGUGAGUAACCUGCCCUUGACUUUGGGAUAACUUCAGGAAACUGGGGCUAAUACCGGAUAGGAGCUCCUGCUGCAUGGUGGGGGUUGGAAAGUUUCGGCGGUUGGGGAUGGACUCGCGGCUUAUCAGCUUGUUGGUGGGGUAGUGGCUUACCAAGGCUUUGACGGGUAGCCGGCCUGAGAGGGUGACCGGCCACAUUGGGCCUGAGUUACGGCCCAGACUCCUACGGGAGGCAGCAGUGGGGAAUAUUGCACAAUGGGCGGAAGCCUGAUGCAGCAACGCCGCGUGCGGGAUGACGGCCUUCGGGUUGUAAACCGCUUUCGCCUGUGACGAAGCGUGAGUGACGGUAAUGGGUAAAGAAGCACCGGCUAACUACGUG